rnacentral:rRNA from 1 species
UACGGGGGGGGCAAGCGUUGUUCGGAAUUACUGGGCGUAAAGGGCUCGUAGGCGGCCAACUAAGUCAGACGUGAAAUCCCUAGGCUCAACCUAGGAACUGCGUCUGAUACUGGAUGGCUUGAAUCCGGGAGAGGGAUGCAGAAUUCCAGGUGUAGCGGUGAAAUGCGUAGAUAUCUGGAGGAAUACCGGUGGCGAAGGCGGCAUCCUGGACCGACAUUGACGCUGAGGAGCGAAAGCUAGGGGAGCAAACGGG